UACGUAGGGACCAAGCGUUGUUCGGAUUUACUGGGCGUAAAGGGCGCGUAGGCGGCGCGGUAAGUCACUUGUGAAAUCUCUGAGCUUAACUCAGAACGGCCAAGUGAUACUGCAGUGCUAGAGUGUGGAAGGGGCAAUCGGAAUUCUUGGUGUAGCGGUGAAAUGCGUAGAUAUCAAGAGGAACACCGAUGGCGAAGGCAGCCCCCUGGGCCAACACUGACGCUCAGGCACGAAAGCGUGGGGAGCAAACAGG
rnacentral:rRNA from 1 species